ensembl:lncRNA
AAUAGGAGUCAAGCACUCUGGGAUCAGUUCCUGCUCUCACCACUCAUGAGCCCCCACCCCGGACUUCAUCUUUAAAAUGGGUGUCCCACCUCCAUUGCCCAGGGUGGUCCUGGGCCAUAUUGACAAGAUUGUGGAAGUGCCUGGAAAAUCGUGAAGUCCUGUGCAAAGAGAAGGUGAUGAAAUCAUUAUUACUCUCGUCCUCCACCAGUUGUCAACGCCUGGUGGGGGUGGGGCUCUUCCAAGCAGACCAGGAAGGCUGGAUCAAAGUGUCCAGCUGGUAAAAGAAGAGUCAGCUGUAGGGCCUGAUCCUCUGGUAUUAGCUGCCCAGGGGGAGAGCAGUGAGAUGAGCUCUCCCGGUGGGUAAUAAAAUGAGUCUAGAAGGGAGGAAGCAGGAUGUAUAAAGCCCAGGAGCCUGAUCUGUUUCUGAGAUCAAACAGAGCAGCAUUGUACCGGGGUGUGGAGCUGAUGUCAGCGUCUAGAAUGCUGGUCGGAAUCGCCCUGGUUACGCAGCUGGACCGGAAUAAGAUAUUCUUCAGCAUUUUCUGGACAUUCAUUCCAAAUAACUAACCGACAAAGAUUUACAGAAAAUCUUCCAUACCGUGGACCCAACCCAUGAGAAGCAAAAAAGAGAAAGAACACCAAAAGAAUAGCUGCCAUUUUUUACGUAUUUUUUUUUUAUCUUUUAAGAACUUCAAAAGGCUUUCGAAUAUUGUAUUUCAUCUCAUUCAAUCCAAAGUAUUACUCUUCUUUCACAGAUAAGUAAACUGAAGAGCGUAUGACCUGGAUCACAUGGUUUAUGAGUGACUGAGUGGGGACUCCAGUUCUCUUACAUCUCUAUUCCUCUGCCUACAAAGACUAGGGUUAAUUUUUUUUUAUAAAAGUCAUUUUAUUUAUUGGGUGCACAAUGGGGCAUGUGGAAUCAGAGUUCCUUGACCAGGGAUUGAACCCAUGCCCCCUGCAUUGGAAACACAGUUAUAACCACUGGACAGCUAGGGAGUUUUAAAUAAAUGUACAGCAUAUAAUGUAAUGUUCUUACA